GACGAACGCUGGCGGCGUGCUUAACAUAUGCAAGUCGAACGGAAAGGCCUGCUUUCCCUUGUGGAUUGCGGGUACUCGAGUGGCGAACGGGUGAGUAACACGUGAGUGAUCUGCCCCCAACUUGGGUAUAAGCCUGGGAAACUGGGUCUAAUUCCCGAUAGGACUGCAGGGUGGUGCCUGUGGUGGAAAACGAUUUUCUAGUGGUUGGGGAUGAGCUCGCGGCCUAUCAGCUUGUUGGUGGGGUAAUGGCCUACCAAGGCGGCGACGGGUAGCCGGCCUGAGAGGGUGGACGGCCACAUUGGGACUGAGAUACGGCCCAGACUCCUACGGGAGGCAGCAGUGGGGAAUAUUGCACAAUGGGCGGAAGCCUGAUGCAGCGACGCCGCGUGGGGGAUGACGGCCUUCGGGUUGUAAACUCCUUUCGACCGCGAGGAAGCCACCUGGUUGGAAGGGUGGUGACGGUAGUGGUAGAAGAAGCACCGGCUAACUACGUG
rnacentral:rRNA from 1 species